ACAGGCAUGAGCCGGUGCUUGGUUCUUUUCUCUCUCAAAAGAAAAUCCUCGCUGAGAUCCAUACGGCUUGAACUUGAUCCAGACAAUACUAGCGAAGAAGAAUCAUGCUUCCCAAAACA
rnacentral:ncRNA from 1 species